rnacentral:rRNA from 1 species
UACGGAGGAUGCAAGCGUUGCUCGGAAUCACUGGGCGUAAAGCGACCGCAGGCGGCCUGACAAGUCGGAUGUGAAAGCCCUGGGCUCAACUCAGGAAUUGCAUUCGAAACUGGUAGGCUCGAGUACGGGAGAGGGGGGUGGAAUUCCUGGUGUAGCGGUGAAAUGCGUAGAUAUCUGGAGGAACACCGGUGGCGAAGGCGGCAUCCUGGACCACGACUGACACUGAAAAGCGAAAGCCAGGGGAGCAAACGGG